AGUUGCCAUGGAAACGGGGAAACGUCAAGCAGCAAGCCUCCGUCUCGCUGUUGUUUUCACUGAUUUUAGCUAAGUUUAGUCCACAAAAUCACACACAUAAUAUAUAAAACUGUUCCUGACACUUUUCUUAAGUGUAACUGACACACUUCUGUUGAAUAUUUACUUAAAAGAAAUGAUUUAGUGUCUUUGAAGAAGUCCGUUAGCAUCUCAACCGUUUUCAGAAGCGGUUGGCUAACUCUAACGUUAUAUUUUGAGCCCUUGUUUAAUGAAAGUUUGGGCUUUUAAUCUCAUCUUUAUGUGUAGAUGAGAUGUUUUGAUAGCUUUGUUAAUGUUUUGCUGGCAUAUUAUCAAUGAAUGAUGGUAAACUUACUUAUUUAUUUAACCUAAAAGUAUGCGCUGGCUGUACCGUUAAUCGGUGACGUCACUUACAUGAGCGCGAAUAUUAGCUGAAACUAUUUCAAACACGGUUUGAUCUCUAAUGGUAAACAAAUAUUGAUAAAAAUUGUUCUGUAAUUUCAGGGACGACAGAAAACCCCCUCCAACAAAGGCUAAAUUACAAAGUUUGCAGCAUUUCUGGAGGAAACACAGUAGAUCCUUCCAUACUGAUGGCCUGCUGCACCCCAGCAGAGCUGAGUGACCUCCUGUCAAAGGCCAUGAACCAGAUGACUAUUGUUGUUUCAGUGAGGUUGUUCUUGAAAGGCCUGUAGGCUAAAUAAUCAGCUAAAAGAGUUAUGUUUGCCAGUGACAGACGCCAUACUGUUCCACUCAAAGAUGAGAUGUAAUCUCUAGCGUUUGGAGCUGUGAUUCUUCAGGACAAGAUGCCAUUCACACUUGAUACAUGAAGAUGCACAUCACUGACAGGCUUUCCUGUGUAACACUGAUUCAAGAUUUCCACCAUUGUAUUUAUCCAAAUGAGGAUCUCAGGGAUCCCCAGUUGAAGGCAUCAGGACAUCAGAUGUUGGCCUGGACAGAUGUACCAACAGUACACCACAAAGACCUCCGCUUUUAAAUGGAUGGCUGAUUACUACCAUGUUCUGUGCGGGUAUUAUUAUAGCAAAACUGAGCACCUGUGACAGUGGGAUUUCUAAUUUUAAAGAAUAGUCAUACAUCAGUAAAUUAUUUUUUUAUUUAAAAAUUUGAAAGGACUUUGAAAGAACUUUUUUCUCCAGUUACAAAAACAGCUACACCUUUUCAAAUUCUUCAUUGGGGGUGCACAAAUCCUAUUUCACAAAUUAAGAAAUUCAUAUGCUCACAUUUAAGCCGUGUUCUUCAGACACUGUAACAGUUCUGAUAUGAUGUCACACUUUGCAGUAUCUUUUUUAUUAACAUGAAUUCAAAUUUUAACAAAUAUAUUCAAAAUGUAAAGAUAUACAAUCUGACAAUCUGAUCUUGUCAUUAUUAAUCAAUCAGUAAUCAACACUGCACCACCCCGAAUUUACAUGCACUGUAGAACAGUGUUUCUCAACUCCAGUCCUCGGGACCCACUGCUCUGCACAUUUUGUACGUAUCCC